rnacentral:rRNA from 1 species
UAGUCGAAAAUGUUGUCUCUCUUGAGUGGAUCCUGAGUACGACGGAGCACGUGAAAUUCCGUCGGAAUCUGGGAGGACCAUCUCCUAAGGCUAAAUACUCUCUAGUGACCGAUAGUGAACCAGUACCGUGAGGGAAAGGUGAAAAGCACCCCGGAAGGGGAGUGAAAUAGAACCUGAAACCGUGUGCUUACAAGUAGUCAGAGCCCGUUAAUGGGUGAUGGCGUGCCUUUUGUAGAAUGAACCGGCGAGUUACGAUUUGAUGCAAGGUUAAGCAGUAAAUGUGGAGCCGUAGCGAAAGCGAGUCUGAAUAGGGCGUUUAGUAUUUGGUCGUAGACCCGAAACCAGGUGAUCUACCCUUGGUCAGGUUGAAGUUCAGGUAACACUGAAUGGAGGACCGAACCGACUUACGUUGAAAAGUGAGCGGAUGAACUGAGGGUAGCGGAGAAAUUCCAAUCGAACCUGGAGAUAGCUGGUUCUCUCCGAAAUAGCUUUAGGGCUAGCCUCAAGUGAUGAUUAUUGGAGGUAGAGCACUGUUUGGACGAGGGGCCCCUCUCGGGUUACCGAAUUCAGACAAACUCCGAAUGCCAAUUAAUUUAACUUGGGAGUCAGAACAUGGGUGAUAAGGUCCGUGUUCGAAAGGGAAACAGCCCAGACCACCAGCUAAGGUCCCAAAAUAUAUGUUAAGUGGAAAAGGAUGUGGCGUUGCCCAGACAACUAGGAUGUUGGCUUAGAAGCAGCCAUCAUUUAAAGAGUGCGUAAUAGCUCACUAGUCGAGUGACACUGCGCCGA